CCUACGGGUGGCAGCAGUGGGGAAUAUUGCGCAAUGGGGGAAACCCUGACGCAGCGAUGCCGCGUGAGUGAAGAAGGCCCUAGGGUUGUAAAACUCUUUCACCGGUGAAGAUAAUGACGGUAGCCGGAGAAGAAGCCCCGGCUAACUCCGUGCCAGCAGCCGCGGUAAUACGGAGGGGGCUAACGUUGUUCGGAAUUACUGGGCGUAAAGCGCGCGUAGGCGGAUUAGACAGUUGAGGGUGAAAUCCCGGAGCUUAACUCCGGAACUGCCUUCAAUACUACUAAUCUUGAGUUCGGAAGAGGUGAGUGGAAUUCCUAGUGUAGAGGUGAAAUUCGUAGAUAUUAGGAAGAACAUCAGUGGCGAAGGCGACUCACUGGUCCGAUACUGACGCUGAGGUGCGAAAGCGUGGGGAGCAAACAGGAUUAGAUACCCUUGUAGUC
rnacentral:rRNA from 1 species